AAAGUCGUAACAAGGUUUCCGUAGGUGAACCUGCGGAAGGAUCAUUAGUGAAUUAGAGUACUCUUCAUUGAGACUCAACUUACACUUUCUAACACUGUGCACUUUAUUUAUCAAGUGUGACAAAUUUCGAAAGAAAUAAAUCGCCUUGAUUCAUUUUAAAACUCUAAUAAGUAAAAGAAUGUAAUAAAAUAUAACAAAGAAAAACUUUCAACAACGGAUCUCUUGGCUCUC
rnacentral:misc_RNA from 1 species